rnacentral:lncRNA from 1 species
CUAGACAACCACAGCAGGCCAAGAUGGAGGAUCCUACCUUGGCAAGACCUAUAGCUCCAGGAGUGAAGCUUCUUCCAUGUUCGUGUUUGAAGGGAAGAAGGAGCCUUCAAUACUGGUGGCUGGCUUCCAAAAUGAAGCAAGGAGGCCCAACAAUUGAGAGACCAGAUACUGCAGGAGCUGGAAUAGUGUCUGGACCAUCUAAGAGUCCCUGCAGAGUAUGCCCUGCAUCAAUGGGAAGGCCUCCAGCAAAUUUCACAAGUUGCUUCUCUGAGACCUGUGGUGCGUCUCUGAAGCAAGAUAGGAUGACAAUGAGGUUGUGGGUGCAUUGAUCAGCACCAUGAAGUGUACCUUCUAAAAGUCACAAGGAGAAGGGGAAAAAGGAAAGAGAAAUAUCUCAGAUCAUUGUUAAGUGCUAGUCUGACUUACUCAAAUAUUGAGGUUUGGUGUUGAGAGAACAUGAAGUCAUUCUGGCCAAGGAAGAAGAAGCUGUGAAUGGAUGGGGUCUUUGUAUUUUUGGAAGAAUAGAAUUAUCUGGUGAUUGGUCUUUGGCUAACACCAUGCACUCCAUUUUCCAGGAACAGGCCUUAUAAUAAUGGCCCUGGUAGAAGAUCACCUUAUGUGUGUGUAUAUUGCAUAUCGUGGCAUCAACUGUGCUGUUGGUGACAUCGUCAUUCUGCUCAUGGGCCAUUAUCUAUCUGCCCCUGAUUUGGCAGCCCUGUUUGGAGAUUUAGUAGUUCCUGCAAUCCUGUUUGCUAAUCAAGACAUGAUGUUGUUGAUCCUGGUGCAUCAGUAGCAGACUGUGUACUUGCGUUUAUAUUGGAGAACCAGACUUUGGCCAUGGACUUGAAGUUACUUGAGAAAGGAAGUUGUGAUGUACUGCAGAAUUUGACUAAAAGCAAAGAUGGUAAAAUUGAUAUCAAUAUUGUACUUGGGAUAGACAUGUCAAAACCCAAGAAUCUACUAACAGAUGUGAAAACCAUGACUGAAGUUUAGAAAGUGAGGAGUUUUGGGAUUCUUCUGAAUGAGUUCCAGCAGCUCUCCACUCACUCACUACACUCUGUACUGCCCUCCAGGGACUUAUGAACUGUUUCCAUAGCCUCAAUUGAUACAUGUGCAAUGUUCCUUUCCUCUGGCACUUAAAUCAUUUGAUGUUUCUUACGGAAUAUACUUUUGUUUCUAAUUCAGUUCCUCAUUGAGAAAGAAUUCUUAGAAGCUUCAGGGCAUUUUUAUUUAUUCCAAAGUACAUUUUAUCCUGUAGCUAGUACUUUACCCUCUUACAUCUUUGUAACCAGUCAGGUUGCUCUUCUCUGUGUGAUAUUCUUUCUAUUUUUAUGUGAUCCCUUGUUUGUUCUUCAUUUUUUCUCUCUAGCUUUUGCAUAGGAGAUAAAACAUGCAACAAUUUCCAUUCUGCACCUGGAUUAUUUUACUGAUCAUGUCAUUUCUAGUUUUGUUCAUCACUUUGUUCUACAUAGCAGUCUUGGUUGGCAAGUGUUUCCUUUCAAAGCUUGGAACAUUUCACUCCAACUCUCAUUGAUUUUAAAGUCUGAGGUGAGAAGUUUGAAGUGAGGCUUUAUAAACAUAAUUAAAUUUAUACAAACAAAUAUAAAUUUAUAUAAAUGUAAAUAAAUGCGACCUCAUGUUUUUAUUGUAUAUGUUUUACUAUUUUUUCUUAUUUCCAUUGUUGGUAACUUGAUUAUAAUAUAUCUUGCA